AUGAAAAAGGAAUAUUCUGAGGACACGCGAUUCAACUUUAAGAUAUGCCUGGUAGUGGUCCUAAGAAUUAUCCUUGUACACUCUGCAAGAAGCGUACAAAGCCAGAUGAAAGGAGACCAAAGACCUGGUCCCAAACUUGUUGUGGUUCCUGCACAGAGCAGGUUCACCUUUUUCCUAGAGCAGAACAUUUUGAUAUCUUCAGGUGCUCGUUGUUGUCCAGCCCACAUUGUAAAUGACACCAUCAACACAGAGUCAAUAGAAAAUCUGGUUCCACCCAAAGAUACAACAAUGGACAAUAACAUGCUAGGAGUUUUGUUCAACAUGUCAAAACCUCAGAUAAGGCGAGCUGUAUCUUCUAUAAGACAAGUUCUGUCCAACAAGCGGUCAUACAGUAUGCACAAACAAAGACAUCUGUUGAAACCAAUGAUGAUUGUCACCACCACGGGGUACAUUGUUUCUGCCAUAGGACCAUAUUUAGCUGACGGCCAAAAUUCUGAUGCCAAAAUCCUCAACCAUAUCAUUGGACAUAAGCAACACAAAACUGAAGAUGCCAAUAGUUCUCGGUUGAUUACAAAGAUAAGAUGGGUAGUGGAAUCCGUAAAUGCCAGAAUUAAGACAUGGCGCUACUUGGCAAGACAGCUCCCGAAUUCUCAAAUUCCAUAUGUUGGGGAAUAUGUACGAAUCAUUAGUGCUCUCUGCAACAAAUACAGGCCACCUCUUAGCAGUGGAGAUGAAGAGAAUGACUUGCAGACAGCUGCAAAGAUGCGUCACCUCUCUACACAGACUAAUCUGCUGCAGACUGAGGUAGAAUCAAAUAAUUUGCAAAAGAAACGAUAUGUCUGGAGAAAGAUCGAUGACGAGAACAUUGAUAUCCCCGACUUUCCCCAAUAUACAGAAGAGGAAAUCCGGGAACUAACUCUUGGAGUUUACCAAGUUAAGUUGGCGAAACAUUACACCCAGGAACACAUGAGCCAAGAAGGAAUGGUGCCAAGGAGUAAAACAGCUUUGAAAAGUGUCAAUGUGAAGAUAAUCAUACCAGAGGGAGGACAAUCGUACCUGACGUCACUGACCUCAUGGAUAGAAAAUGGCGUCUUUCUGACGGGAGCUCGAUGUUUCUGAGUUGCCGACCCGGGCAGCCAAGUAACGGUUUUGAAUACUGCGUGAU
rnacentral:sRNA from 1 species